rnacentral:lncRNA from 1 species
GCAGCAUUUUCUAAGUGAUGACUUCAGUGAGACUGAAAGUGGCUCGAGGCAGAUUGCUCCUGGCGCCAUUCCUUCAACAGUGCUGGUCUGCACAAUGUGCCUGGACAGUGACAGCAAGCAGUUGCUAAUGAGUAAAUACAAGUUGGAUGAGGCAUACCAACAGUUUAUUGGUCUUCCUUUGUGUGAUCGAGGGAACCUGCAACACACACUUUGUGUACGAUGUGCUCACAGACUGAUAAACGUCACCAGAUUUAGAGACGA